rnacentral:rRNA from 1 species
CGCAUCUGUGCAUGCAGCAUAUCAAUAAGCGGAGGAAAAGAAACUAACAAGGAUUCCCCUAGUAACGGCGAGUGAAGCGGGAAGAGCUCAAAUUUGAAAUCUUAAAGGGUUUCCCUUUACGAAUUGUAGUUUAAAGAAGUGUUUUCUGUUGAGGUUUUGGUAAAAGUUCUUUGGAAUAGGACAUCAUAGAGGGUGAGAAUCCCGUAUUUGACCUUUACUUUCAACUUUGUGAUACACUUUCAAAGAGUCGGAUUGUUUGGGAAUGCAGUCCAAAAUGGGUGGUAAAUUUCAUCUAAAGCUAAAUAUUGGCGAGAGACCGAUAGCGAACAAGUACCGUGAGGGAAAGAUGAAAAGAACUUUGAAAAGAGAGUUAAACAGUACGUGAAAUUGUCAAAAGGGAAGCGUUUGACACCAGUGUUGUUUUUCUGAAAAUCAAUUAAAGAACUGUUUAUGCUAAGCUGUUUAGACUUUAUCAGCUAUCUGUUUAGUUUUGAGCUUUUCUUUAAUGCACUUUUCAGUUAGCAAGUCAACAUCAAUUUCUUUUGCUGUAAAAAAGCUUGAGGAAGGUGGCUUGAGAUUCGUCUUAAGUGUUUAUAGCCUCUUGCCUAUGCAGUCGGAGAGAUUGAGGUCUGCAGCGUAGAUCCUUCGGGGCUAAAUGCAUUUGUGCUAAGUUAUAGCAUUUUAUAGACAACUUGUUGACUAUGAUUUGUCUUGUAGCUUACUCGCUUAUGUUAUUUUACCUACGCUUAGGAUGUUGAACGCGCACAGAGUCUC